rnacentral:misc_RNA from 1 species
GUAGGUGAACCUGCGGAAGGAUCAUUAUUGAAUGAACUUGGUGUGGUUGUUGCUGGCCUUCUUUGGGGGCAUGUGCACACCCACCAUCCUCAUCUCUCCACCUGUGCACAUCUUGUAGAUUUGGAUUGACUUUCCGAGGCAACUCGGUCGGGAGGACUGCUGGCGCUAGCUAGCUUUCCUUGCAUUCCCAAGUCUAUGUUUUUCAUAUAUCCCAUUGUAUGUAACAGAAUGUAACACUAGGCCUUUGUGC